CUGGCAUCAACCCUGCUUCUGUGGGUGUACUUUCUGGUUGACGCAGCAUCAGUUUUGACCGGUGGAAAAAGUCCAAGGGAAUGUGGCAUCUCCGGAUGUGUUAUAGCCCUUGGUCGUAUACAUCGGUUGGACUGAGGAAUUCAGCACGCCGCAAGGCCGGGUUUCGACCACGUUCGUGCUUAGGAUGCUGGCAUAAUGGCUUUAAUCGACCCGUCUUGAAACACGGACCAAGGAGUC
rnacentral:rRNA from 1 species